rnacentral:rRNA from 1 species
ACGAUGAAUGUUUGCGGCGUGCCUAAGGUAUGCAAGUCGAACGAUUCACUUUACUUCGGUUUUGUGAAUAGUGGCAGACGGCUGAGUAACGCGUAGGAACUUUCCCCAAAGUCAAGGAUAGCUACUCGAAAGGGUAAUUAAUCCUGGAUGUGAUCUGCGGAUCAAAGGCUUCGGUCGCUUUGGGAUAGGCCUGCGUCCUAUCAGGUUGUUGGUGAGGUAAAUGCUCACCAAGCCUAUGACGGGUAGCUGGUCUGAGAGGAUGAUCAGCCAGAAUGGGACUGAGACACGGCCCAUACUCCUACGGGAGGCAGCAAUUAGGAAUCUUGCGCAAUGGACGAAAGUCUGACGCAGCGACGCCGCGUGAAGGAUGACGGCUUUCGGGUUGUAAACUUCUUUUAUUGGGGAACAAGUUCUGAGGGUACCCAAUGAAUAAGGCCCCCCUAACUACGUGCCAGAAGGGUCGGUGAUGCGUAGGGGCCAAACAUUAUCCGGAAUUACUGGGCGUAAAGAGAUGCGUAGGCGUCUCGACAAGUUUUAUGUUAAAGCCCAAUGCUCAACAUUGGAAGAGCGUAAAAAACUGUCGAGAUUGAGUCAGGCAGAGGGAAACAGAAUUCCAGGUGUAGCGGUGAAAUGCGUUGAUAUCUGGAGGAAUACCGAUUGCGAAGGCAGUUUCCUGGGCCUAGACUGACGCUGAGGCUCGAAAGCGUGGGGAGCAAAACGGAUUAGAUACCCGUGUAGUCCACGCCGUAAACGACCCCUAUUAGGUGUAUGACUUGGAUUUUCAAAUUAGCUUCGGUUAGUUUGAUGUCUCAGUUGUGUGUCGCAGUUAACGCGUUAAAUAGGGCGCCUGGGGAGUACGGUCGCAAGGCUAAAACUCAAAGGAAUUGACGGGGACCCGCACAAGCAGUGGAGCGUUUGGUUUAAUUCGAUGCAAAGCGAAGAACCUUACCAGGGCUUGAACUAUAACUGUGGUCUCCCAGAAACGGGAGACGUCUUCGAGAGUGUUAUAGAGGUGCUGCAUGGCUGUCGUCAGCUCGUGUCGUGAGAUGUUGGGUUAAGUCCCGCAACGAGCGCAACCCCUACCUAGUGUUAUAUAUUUCUCUGGGGACUGCCUUGCCAAAACGAGGAGGAAGGAGGGGACGACGUCUAGUCAUCAUAGUCCUUAUGUCCUGGGCUACACAAGCGCUACAAUGGUUACUACAAAGGGCAGCCAAGCCGCGAGGUGGAGCUAAUCCCAAAAAAGUAGCCUCAGUUCGGAUUGUAGGCUGAAAUUCGCCUACAUGAAGUCGGAAUUGCUAGUAAUCGCAGAUCAGCAUGCUGCGGUGAUACGUUCUCGGGUCUGCACACAC